ACUUCCUCCACCUCGUUCGCAGGAAAAGCAGCGUCGACGUUUCUUUGCGUUUUUGGUUUUCAUUUAAUAUCCAACCUUUGGCUUCUGGAAGUGUUAUCUUCGAAAAUGUCUGAUUUAAUUCAUGUCCGUGACCGGUAUUUGACUUUCUGUUGUGGAUUGUCGCUUUUCAAGUUGUAAACACUGGAAGCGUCCUCUCUUCUUCUACUCCUGUUGCUUCGAUAUUUUGUGGGGUUUUCUUUUCAAGAUUUUUGAGUUUUUACAUCCACCUCUGGGAGUAAAAAACACGUUUAAGAUAUUGUCUUGGAUUCUAGACGAAACAUAGACGUCACACUUCGAAGUCAAAAUGGCGAAGUGAACUUUUCGUGACGUAGAGGUGCAGCAGCCGCUGUGAGUUGAGAGCUGUGAGUUAUCAUGGACACUCACAGCAAGAACGAGAAACACAGCAACAUCCAUGUUGUCAUUCAUGACAAACUUCUUAGCACAGUGACGAUCUCAGCCAUUUCAAACCUGACCGAGGAAAGAUUCAGCGACAGAACUAAGCUGUCUAAGGGGAUCCAUUCUGAACCUGCCAGUGAGGUAGUGGUGCGAAAGCCCAAAACUGUGGGAAAUGUCUGCAGUCCACACUUUACAGAGCUUACACAGGACCACUUCCUGAUCCAGGCAUCAUGGCAGCGGGAGAAAAACUAUGCCAACUGGAGUCCCAACCACGCAUAGCUCCCGUUUUAGAUGGUCUCAACUCUGGAGCUUGUACCAUCCAAAUUAGAGCCUGUGCCACAUGGCUCACCAAUGUCUUACCAGUGCCCACCUGAGAAGUCCUGCGGUGGCAUCAUGCUGCACCACAUGGCUUCAGACUUUCCUGCUCUUACUUUGAUGCUGAAACGUCUUCUCCAGAUAAACACUCUGCACAGCUUAGUCCCGUCGUCUUCAUCAUCUUCAUCACUCUACUGGCUUUCUGUGGGUGGAGAUUAUACCAAAACAAAACCAGUGAGAGCAGCAGACCGCAUGAGGAGGAGGAGGAGGAUGUAGAUGGAGGACAGCCUGUUUAAACGCCGGGUCUGAUGUGAAACUUCGUCCCAGACGAGCUGCAGGACGUCUGCAGGUGGACGCUUCAUCACAUCGGUCCUCAAUCAGCUGCUCCAAGUUUUAUCCCUCUGUAGUUUAUUAGUGAAAACACCAAUGAGCCGUAACAUUGUGACCACCUGCAGCAAAGUGGCUCCAACCAGGCAGGAUGGAGAACACCUGCGUGUCCUGGAGGGUUCACUACUUGGAAAUGAACAGUAGAUCUUUGGACCCUGUGAGUUGUGGGUUGGGAUUUAGUGGAUCAGGAAGGACUGCUGUCCACAGGGAUGCAGGAGUUCCCAGUCAAACACUGAUUAUAACAGGAUGAGCAGAGUAUUCACUUUGAACCUGUUGGUGGUCUUAAUGUAAUGGCUGAUGGGUGUUGGUUCAUUAGACGGUUUCAUUGUUUGUCUCUGAGCUGAACAAGUGACUCACUUUCCACCUGAAGAGAAAGUUCCUCAGCUCCUCUUUAACGUAUUUCCAGCGUUCUUCUCAACGUGGCUGUUAAGAAGUGAUCAAUGGGAAACCCGCUGCAUGAAAUCUGGGAUUGUAUCGAUUAGAUUAAUACAAAUCAUUUUCUACACGGUGACCACAUCCAGUUCAAUCAAUGCUGAACAACCAAAACACAAAUGAUAACAAGGACACUCC